rnacentral:rRNA from 1 species
GAUGAACGCUAGCGGCAGGCCUAAUACAUGCAAGUCGAACGAUACCAAGGGGCUUGCUCCUUGGAAAAGUGGCGCACGGGUGCGUAACGCGUAUGCAACCUACCUUUAUCAGGGGGAUAGCCCGGAGAAAUCCGGAUUAAUACCGCAUAAAAUCACAGGAUGGCAUUAUCCAAUGAUCAAACAUUUAUGGGAUAAAGAUGGGCAUGCGCGUCAUUAGCUAGUUGGCGGGGUAACGGCCCACCAAGGCGACGAUGACUAGGGGAUCUGAGGGGAUGGCCCCCCACACUGGUACUGAGACACGGACCAGACUCCUACGGGAGGCAGCAGUAAGGAAUAUUGGUCAAUGGGCGGAAGCCUGAAUCAGCCAUGCCGCGUGCAGGAAGACUGCCCUAUGGGUUAUAAACUGCUUUUAUCCGGGAAUAAACCUACUUACGUGUAAGUAGCUGAAUGUACCGGAAGAAUAAGGAUCGGCUAACUCCGUGCCAGCAGCCGCCGUAA